GAUGAAGAACGUAGCGAAAUGCGAUAAGUAAUGUGAAUUGCAGAAUUCAGUGAAUCAUCGAAUCUUUGAACGCACCUUGCGCCCUUUGGCCAUUCCGAAGGGCAUGCCUGUUUGAGUAUCAUGAACACCUCAACUCUUUAUGGUUUUCCAUGAUGAGCUUGGACUCUGGGGGUUUUGCUGGCUCACAGUCGGCUCCUCUGAAAUGAAUCAGCUUACCAGUGUUUGGUGGGUAUCAUAGGUGUGAUAACUAUCUACGCUUGUGGUUUUUCCACCAGGUAACCUUCAGCAGUGGAGGUUCGCUGGAGCUCAUAGAUGUCUCUCCUCAGUGAGGACAGCCCUUUGAAUGUUUGAUCUCAAAUCAGGUAGGACUACCCGCUGAACUUAAGCAUAUCAUAAGCGGAGGA
rnacentral:misc_RNA from 1 species